ACCCGGCUGGCUCAGUCGGUGGAGCAGGUGACUCUUGAUCUCAGGGGCUGUGAGUUUAAGUCUCAGGUUGGGUG
rnacentral:tRNA from 1 species